AUAAGCGGAGGAAAAGAAACUAACAAGGAUUCCCCUAGUAACUGCGAGUGAAGCGGGAAAAGCUUCAAAUUUAAAAUCUGGCGGCUCCGCCGUCCGAGUUGUAUUCUGGAGAAGUGCUUUCCGUGCCGGACCGUGUAUAAGUCUCUUGGAACAGAGCGUCAUAGAGGGUGAGAAUCCCGUCUUUGACACGGACUGCCGGUGCUCUGUGAUGCGCUCUCAAAGAGUCGAGUUGUUUGGGAAUGCAGCUCAAAAUGGGUGGUAAAUUCCAUCUAAAGCUAAAUAUUGGCGAGAGACCGAUAGCGAACAAGUACCGUGAGGGAAAGAUGAAAAGCACUUUGGAAAGAGAGUUAAACAGUACGUGAAAUUGUUGAAAGGGAAACGCUUGAAGUCAGUCGCGUCUGCCGGAACUCAGCCUUGCCUGCCGCUUGGUGUAUUUUCUGGUUGACGGGCCAGCAUCGAUUUUGACUGUCGGACAAGGGCUCACGGAAUGUGGCAUCUUCGGGUGUGUUAUAGCCGUGGGUCGUAUACGGCAGUUGGGAUCGAGGACCGCAUUUGAGGAUGCUGGCGUAAGGGCUUUAAGCGACCCGUCUUGAAACACGGACCAAGGAGUCUAACAUGCCCGCGAGUGUUUGGGUGGAAAAUCCGAGCGCGUAAUGAAAGUGAAAGUUGAGACCUCUGUCGUGGAGGGCAUCGACACCCGGACCUGAUCUUCGGUGACGGAUCUGCGGUAGAGCGUGUAUGUUGGGACCCGAAAGAUGGUGAACUAUGCCUGAAUAGGGUGAAGCCAGAGGAAACUCUGGUGGAGGCUCGUAGCGAUUCUGACGUGCAAAUCGAUCGUCAAAUUUGGGUAUAGGGGCGAAAGACUAAUCGAACCAUCUAGUAGCUGGUUCCUGC
rnacentral:rRNA from 1 species